rnacentral:lncRNA from 1 species
UCCUUAUCAGUCGCUAUAAGACAAGCCCAGCACUGCGAUCAAACCACUGUAUCUGCAACAGCCCCCCCUCGACACACAACGGACGAUGUGUGACCUUUGUGAAUGUGUGUGCGAGCUCAUGGCGAAACUGUGCUGUGAAUUUUUUUUGCGAGGACUGCUGUGACUGUUGCGAGGAUAAUUAUGCUGAUGAUAAAGAAGAGAAGAGGAAGAGAAGACAACAGAAAAAUUCCGUUGUAUCCUCACAACCUUCGAAUUCAGACCCAGCCGGAACAGCAUUAGUAUGACACCUUUUCAAUUGGACUUUUGAUCGCUACUUUGUACUCAGGCUGUGAUUAAUAGACACUGAUUAAAUAAUAAACAAUUAUAUUUUUUAUGUAAAA